rnacentral:hammerhead_ribozyme from 1 species
AUCCAUCUGACAAGUCCCAAAUAUGACGAAACGGGUGUCCUGGAU